UGCCCCCAAGCCCCACAGCCUGCGCCCCAUAUCCCAGGCCCCAUAUCUGCAAGCAGGGACAGCCCUCCAUCUGCACGACUUAGCUCCGCCCGGCCAUACGGUCUGGUGCCUUGGGUGGUUGCUACCCACCUCUUUCCCCUGCCCACCCCAGCUGUUUUUAACCACAUAAAGGGACUAGAUUGAGCCUUCUGAUGCGCUGUGAUUGUUCUUGGACCGGAGACCCACCUAUUGGCAGCCACUAACUCCCUCCAGCAUAACGGCAAAGCUGAUGUAAAAUUUCCAGCCUGGCACACCGGAUUGCUGCAGAAUCCAGGCAGCCAGGCUACAGAAGCCAUGCGAUUAUGCAGCAGAAUCGGGACACCGCUCGGCGUGGAAUACAUGAAUCCUUGCUAAUGAAACCCUUCCUGUAGAGCCGAGGCUGCAUUUCUACGCUGGUGACUCUCAUCUUGCAGAGGGUGCUCCUGAAAUACCUGAAGUCUGAACCCUGGAUGACAGCAGUAAUGGUGGCAGAGGAUCAGGACUACAAUUCCCAGGCUGUCUAGAGUCCAGGGCGGAGAUUGAACAAGCUGGAAGCUACUACAGGAAUCAAUCGUAAGCCAGAACUCAGAGACAAAGGGUUUAGUUUUACUUUGUGUUUUGGCUGCUUUUUGGAAUGUAGCAGAGAGAGAAGCAUCCCAGACGGAGAGAAGCCUUCUACUCUCUACAUUCCCACCCUAGGAAAAUCUUUAGGGAUUUCUGAGACCUUGAACAGUGUCAUCUCAGCAGAGACCAGACAGCCAGGAGACUGAGGAGAGCGUGAAGGUUUGGCUACCGAGAGCCAGGCUAACUGCACAGCUGACUCCAGACCAGGGAGCCAUGAGGAUGCUCUUACUAUCCUAGGGUGUAGAUAAUUGGACAGCUUCUCCCUGAGAGGCGGAAACUACGUUGACGGAAGAACACAAGGGAGAAGAUUAGGAGGAGCCCUGGUGUCAACAGAGUACUGUCUACA